GACGAACGCUGGCGGCGUGCUUAACACAUGCAAGUCGAGCGGAAAGGCCCUUCGGGGUACUCGAGCGGCGAACGGGUGAGUAACACGUGAGUAACCUGCCCCAGACUUUGGGAUAACCCUCGGAAACGGGGGCUAAUACCGGAUACGACACAGCUUCGCAUGGGGUCUGUGUGGAAAGUUUUUCGGUUUGGGAUGGGCUCGCGGCCUAUCAGCUUGUUGGUGGGGUGAUGGCCUACCAAGGCGACGACGGGUAGCCGGCCUGAGAGGGCGACCGGCCACACGGGGGCUGAGACACGGCCCAGCCCCCUACGGGGGGCAGGAGGGGGGAAUAUUGCACAAGGGGCGGAAGCCGGAUGCAGCGACGCCGGGUGAGGGAUGCCGGCCUUCGGGUUGUAAACCUUUUUCAGCAGGGACGAAGGGUAAGGGACGGUACCUGCAGAAGAAGCGCCGGCCAACUACGU
rnacentral:rRNA from 1 species